rnacentral:rRNA from 1 species
AGUCAACGCUGGCGGUAGGCCUAACACAUGCAAGUCGAACGGCAGCACAGUAAGAGCUUGCUCUUACGGGUGGCGAGUGGCGGACGGGUGAGGAAUACAUCGGAAUCUACUUUUUCGUGGGGGAUAACGUAGGGAAACUUACGCUAAUACCGCAUACGACCUACGGGUGAAAGCAGGGGAUCUUCGGACCUUGCGCGAUUGAAUGAGCCGAUGUCGGAUUAGCUAGUUGGCGGGGUAAAGGCCCACCAAGGCGACGAUCCGUAGCUGGUCUGAGAGGAUGAUCAGCCACACUGGAACUGAGACACGGUCCAGACUCCUACGGGAGGCAGCAGUGGGGAAUAUUGGACAAAGGGCGCAAGCCUGAUCCAGCCAUACCGCGUGGGUGAAGAAGGCCUUCGGGUUGUAAAGCCCUUUUGUUGGGAAAGAAAAGCAGCAGGUUAAUACCCCGCUGUUCUGACGGUACCCAAAGAAUAAGCACCGGCUAACUUCGUG